AGAAUCAACGCUGGCGGCGUGACUAACACAUGCAAGUCGAACGAGAAAGUGGAGCAAUCCAUGAGUAAAGUGGCGCACGGGUGAGUAACACGUGACUAACCUACCUUUUAGUGGGGGAUAACCUAGGGAAACCUGGGCUAAUACCGCAUAAUACCUACGGGUCAAAGCAGCAAUGCGCUGGAAGAGGGGGUCGCGGCCGAUUAGCUAGUUGGCGGGGUAAUGGCCCACCAAGGCAGUGAUCGGUAUCCGGCCUGAGAGGGCGCACGGACACACUGGAACUGAAACACGGUCCAGACUCCUACGGGAGGCAGCAGUGGGAAUUUUGCGCAAUGGGGGAAACCCUGACGCAGCAACGCCGCGUGGAGGAUGAAGACCCUUGGGUCGUAAACUCCUUUCGAUCGGGACGAUAAUGACGGUACCGGAAGAAGAAGCCCCGGCUAACUUCGUGCCAGCAGCCGC
rnacentral:rRNA from 1 species